GCGGUAAUUCCAGCUCCAAUAGCGUAUAUUAAAGUUGUUGCAGUUACAAAGCUCGUAGUUGAACUUUGGGCCCGGUUGGCCGGUCCGAUUUUUUCGUGUACUGGAUUUCCAACGGGGCCUUUCCUUCUGGCUAACCUUGAGUCCUUGUGGCUCUUGGCGAACCAGGACUUUUACUUUGAAAAAAUUAGAGUGUUCAAAGCAGGCGUAUUGCUCGAAUAUAUUAGCAUGGAAUAAUAGAAUAGGACGUUUGGUUCUAUUUUGUUGGUUUCUAGGACCAUCGUAAUGAUUAAUAGGGACGGUCGGGGGCAUCAGUAUUCAAUUGUCAGAGGUGAAAUUCUUGGGUUUAUUGAAGACUAACUACU
rnacentral:rRNA from 1 species